CCUGUUUAAUGUGGUCUGGGUGAAUAUCCUCUUUCUACUUAGCAUUUGUCUCUGAGGCCCAGCAGUGCAUGGUAUUCAUGCAGUUCAUAUUAACUGUGUAAAGAGGAAGGAAGACCUUGAACACAUUUGUUCGAGUUAUUAUCUUAAACCGCAGGCAAAGACGUUUCCACAGACUUUUUCUGUCACACCAGCUACCUCCUUCAUAAACAACGCCCUGAGAGAAACAAACUAUGAAUCUUAGAACAGCUGCAAGAGGCUUUGUAGCUUUCCUUCUGUCAGUACCAGCAUUACAGGGUUAUAAUAACUGGGCAGUUAAUUACCCAGUUAGAAAUGUCUGCGGUUUGAGAGGAUCAACAGUUGAAAUCAGCUGCACCUAUAAAUACCCUAAACACCUAAAAGUGGAGAAAAGAUGGUGGUUUACUAAUAUACACAAUGAGCUAGUAGAUCUGAGAGAUGAUACAGACUAUACAGGUCGUAUUGAUUACCACUGUGGAGAGCCCAGGUGUGGGUCCUACAGCUGUACUGGAACUUGUACACUGAUAAUCAAAGGCCUGACACAGAGUGACUCUGCUGAAUACAAGUUUAGGGUUACAACAAACAAAGGAGGGGCAUAUAGUGGUGACCCUGGAGUGAAGUUAUCUGUGACGGGUAAACAUUGAUUGCUAAUGAAUCUAUUCAACUGUUUGUGUGUGUGUGUGUGUGUGUGUGUGUGUGUGUGUGUGUGUGUGUGUGUGUGUGUGUGU